UACGGGGGGGGGCAAGCGUUGUUCGGAAUUACUGGGCGUAAAGGGCUUGUAGGUGGCCAACUAAGUCAGACGUGAAAUCCCUCGGCUUAACCGGGGAACUGCGUCUGAUACUGGAUGGCUAGAGUGUGGGAGAGGGAUGCGGAAUUCCAGGUGUAGCGGUGAAAUGCGUAGAUAUCAGGAAGAACACCCGUGGCGAAGGCGGCUCUCUGGUACGUGACUGACGCUGAGACGCGAAAGCGUGGGGAGCGAACAGG
rnacentral:rRNA from 1 species